GGUAGACCUCCCACCCUGUGUCGUUAUACCUUCGUUGCUUUGGCGGGCCGCGGGGCCCCGGCCCCGCCCCUGGCUCCGGCUAGGGCGCGCCCGCCAGAGGACCUCAAAACCUGAAUGUUAGUGUCGUCUGAGUACUAUAUAAUAGUUAAAACUUUCAACAACGGAUCUCUUGGUUCUGGCAUCGAUGAAGAACGCAGCGAAAUGCGAUAAGUAAUGUGAAUUGCAGAAUUCAGUGAAUCAUCGAAUCUUUGAACGCACAUUGCGCCCCUUGGUAUUCCGGGGGGCAUGCCUGUUCGAGCGUCAUUACAACCCUCAAGCUCUGCUUGGUCUUGGGCGUCACCGGUCCCGGUGUGCCUUAAAAUCAGUGGCGGCGCCAUCUGGCUCUAAGCGUAGUACAUACUCUCGCUACAGACGUCCGGUGGAUGCUGGCCAGCAACCCCCAACUUAUCAAGGUUGACCU
rnacentral:rRNA from 1 species